rnacentral:rRNA from 1 species
CGCAACCCCUAUCAUUAGUUGCCAUCAGGUCAAGCUGGGGACUCUAAUGAAACUGCCUACGCAAGUAGUGAGGAAGGUGGGGAUGACGUCAAAUCAGCACGGCCCUUACGUCCAGGGCUACACACGUGCUACAAUGGCCGGUACAAAGGGCAGCUACCUGGUGACAGGAUGCUAAUCUACAAAAGCCGGUCUCAGCUCGGAUCGGAGUCUGCAACCCGACUCCGUGAAGCUGGAAUCGCUAGUAAUCGUGAAUCAGAAUGUCACGGUGAAUACGUUCCCGGGCCUU